GAAUUUUGGACAAUGGGCGAAAGCCUGAUCCAGCAAUGCCGCGUGCAGGAUGAAGGCCUUCGGGUUGUAAACUGCUUUUGUACGGAACGAAAAGCUUUGGGCUAAUACCCUGGAGUCAUGACGGUACAGUAAGAAUAAUCACCGGCUAACUACGUGCCAGCAGCCGCGGUAAUACGUAGGGUGCAAGAGUUAAUCGGAAUCACGGGGCGUAAAGCGUGCGCAGGCGGUUUUGUAAGUCAGGUGUGAAAUCCCCGGGCUCAACCUGGGAACUGCCUUUGAGGCUGCAAGGCUAGAGUACGGCAGAGGGGGGUGGAAUUCCGCGUGUAGCAGUGAAAUGCGUAGAUAUGCGGAGGAACACCGAUGGCGAAGGCAACCCCCUGGGCCUGUACUGACGCUCAUGCACGAAAGCGUGGGGAACAAACA
rnacentral:rRNA from 1 species